CAUCCUUGAUGCUUGACAACAGCGUGUCGUUUGUGCUGCUGAGCUGAAAUACAUGUUGUUGAGUGACAGUCUGUAACUGAGCUGUCAUCUGCAGUAACUGUAAUUUAAUGGCCUUAAAGCAUAAAUAAUCAGUCGUGUCGAGGCGGCUGUCAUCAGUGUCUUGUUGUUGAUGAGGCUCUAAAGGUGUCACAGUCACGCUGAACGUCAAAGCCGCAGACGCCGCCUAGUGGAGCGGAAGUGAAUCAGUGUCAGUAGUUUUAAUGCAUGAAAACAAACUAGAAGUGUGUCGUUGGAGACGGGAUGCGUUUUUAGUUUUAUAUAUAUUAAAUCACGUCUGUGAUCUUCUUUAAAUGGUCUCAAGCAGCAGAUAAACAUGGCAUCUAACGGAUGAUCAGCUUCUCAACUGAAAGGAGUAAAGGAUGUGUUUGGAGCAUCACACACAUCCAGCAGAGGCAUGUGGACAGACAUCGACUAUGAUGAUGCUCAUCUGCUGAAGGACAGUAGCAGGUUCGAGUGAAUCUUUCUCUGUGUCUCUGAUGAGGAGGAUGUGAAGCUCAGGACUGGUCAUCAUAUCAACACAUCAAUCUACAGACAAACAUCACAUUUAAUAAAGAUUUAAUGAAGAAA